rnacentral:rRNA from 1 species
CGACGUGAGUAACCUGCCUUGGAGUGGGGAAUAACAGCUGGAAACAGCUGCUAAUACCGCAUAAAAUAUCUGUGUCGCAUGGCACUGGAUAUCAAAGAUUUAUCGCUCUGAGAUGGACUCGCGUCUGAUUAGCUAGUUGGCGGGGUAACGGCCCACCAAGGCGACGAUCAGUAGCCGGACUGAGAGGUUGGCCGGCCACAUUGGGACUGAGACACGGCCCAGACUCCUACGGGAGGCAGCAG